rfam:Schistosoma mansoni strain Puerto Rico chromosome 1, complete genome
AUCCAACUGACGAGUCCCACAUAAGACGAGACGUACGUCCUGGAU